UACGAAGGGGGCUAGCGUUGCUCGGAAUCACUGGGCGUAAAGGGUGCGUAGGCGGGUCUUUAAGUCAGGGGUGAAAUCCUGGAGCUCAACUCCAGAACUGCCUUUGAUACUGAAGAUCUUGAGUUCGGGAGAGGUGAGUGGAACUGCGAGUGUAGAGGUGAAAAUUCGUAGAUAUUCGCAAGAACACCAGUGGCGAAGGCGGCUCACUGGCCCGAUACUGACGCUGAGGCACGAAAAGCGUGGGGGAGCAAACAGGG
rnacentral:rRNA from 1 species